GAGAUCUAUGCAGCGCUUUGACCUUGCUCAGACUAAAGACACUGCUAAAACGAGACAGCGUUAUACCGCUGGCAUAAA